CACCAGCAUGAGAAAAAGUGAUCCACAUGCCAUUAUGCAUUGAUUGAUGAAAUUUAUGGCCAUGUUGAUAAUUGUUGAUCAAGAUAUCAAGCACCAAGAGGAGCCUCUGCUACUGUUACAGUUGAGGGGAGGAAGAAGGCAAUUCAAACAACAGAGAAGCAGCUGGUCUCAGCUCAGUCAGUGGAAGAAAUGAGGUUGCUGCUAAGUGUGAGAGGUUCCCUCCCUGAAGUGGAAUUUCCCAUCCUGUGCUCUCUCUCGGCCGCCCACGUGCUGACAGCUGAUCUUCACUCACUGCGGACUCAACUGUCUCAUGAAUUAUCAAAGGGAAGAUGGUAAUUGAAACCUGCACUUGAGGAUGCCAUAAGGGGGAUGAUGAUGCCAGUAGGCUUGGAAAGAGUGGCUGUCACCCUGAAGGACACCAGGGCUUGAAGGCUUCUUUGUGUGUUAGGAUCUCCUCCAGCACACACACAAACACACACACAGCCCUCCAUCUCUGAUCACUGCCUGAGCAUACAAGCUCUGGUGCAGGAGCUGCAGCUAUAAUCUCAUUCCCUGAUGGUCUCCAAACAUGAUGCACCUCACUGACACAAAAUGUGACCUGGGCCUUCUUGCCACCUUGGCCCUCUGGGGCUGGAACUGGGGUGAUGGAGUGCAACAACAACAACAACAACAACAACAACAACAAAACAAAGGCUUGUCCUGAUUUGCAAGGCAAAGCUGCUCCUGCCACCUUAAACCAAAUCCUCGUUGGGAUGCUGCACAGCAAGUCCAGAGUUUCUCUCCUAUAAUUGCUCCCCAAAGUAUUUGCACCCUGUCCUUGACAUUCAUGUGCUGCAAAGCAUUUGGGGAGCCCUUGAAGUCAGAGCACUUGACAAAUCACAGGAUGAUUUUGGGAAUCCCCCAAAAAUCAUCCUGUUCUCUUUGCUUCCCAGAAGUACGACCGCACCGGGAGCUAGUGGGAAGCUAGCUUCUAUAGUUCAGGCCGACCUCUCUCUCUCUUUCUGUCCUGCCAAGCCUUUCCAAUAACAAGUGCCGGCCCUGGAGACAAUCUGCACCACCUGGGCACUUGCGCAAGCUAAGCCAGACUUUGUUUAAACAAUCACACUCUGUACUUCCACCCACAGACUCAUGGUGCUUAACACUGGCAGACUCAGAAGAAGCAGUUAUGUAACUGGCAUUCUCCAAACAGAAGAGCUCCAAGAAAGAAGGAACGGCAGGACAAGGAGCAGAGAAAGGGAAACAACACCGGCUCUCACAAUAGCCAUUCCAUCAAGGCAUUCAACCCUCUCCAAGACCUAUUUGAGUGGGGCAGACCACUCUCCCCAUUUUAAAUUCUUGAGUGAUUAUGUAAUGGUAUUUAAAAGAAAACACUUCUCCGCCUGCACU